AGGGGUGCUAUCUGUGCUGGAGGGACA
rnacentral:miRNA from 1 species